rnacentral:rRNA from 1 species
GACGAACGCUGGCGGCGUGCUUAACACAUGCAAGUCGAACGGAAAGGCCCUGCUUUUGUGGGGUGCUCGAGUGGCGAACGGGUGAGUAACACGUGAGUAACCUGCCCUUGACUUUGUUAUAACUUCAGGAAACUGGGGCUAAUACCGGAUAUGAGCUCCUGCUGCAUGGUGGGGGUUGGAAAGUUUCGGCGGUUGGGGAUGGACUCGCGGCUUAUCAGCUUGUUUGUGGGGUAGUGGCUUACCAAGGCUUUGACGGGUAGCCGGCCUGAGAGGGUGACCGGCGAAAAGGGGACUGAGAUACGGACCAGAAGGGAACGGGAGGAAGCAGUGGGGAAUAUGGCACAAUGGGAGGAAGCAUGAUGAAGAAAAGCAGCGAGCGGGAUGAAGGGCGUCGGGGUGUAAAAAGAUUUAGAAUGAGAAGAAGAGUGAGUGACGGUAAUGGGUAAAGAAGCACCGGCUAACUACGUG